GACGAACGCUGGCGGCGUGCUUAACACAUGCAAGUCGAACGGAAAGGCCCUGCUUUUGUGGGGUGCCCGAGUGGCGAACGGGUGAGUAACACGUGAGUAACCUGCCCUUGACUUUGGGAUAACUUCAGGAAACUGGGGCUAAUACCGGAUAGGAGCUCCUGCUGCAUGGUGGGGGUUGGAAAGUUUCGGCGGUUGGGGAUGGACUCGCGGCUUAUCAGCUUGUUGGUGGGGUAGUGGCUUACCAAGGCUUUGACGGGUAGCCGGCCUGAGAGGGUGACCGGCCACAUUGGGACUGAGAUACGGCCCAGACUCCUACGGGAGGCAGCAGUGGGGAAUAUUGCACAAUGGGCGGAAGCCUGAUGCAGCAACGCCGCGUGCGGGAUGACGGCCUUCGGGUUGUAAACCGCUUUCGCCUGUGACGAAGCGUGAGUGACGGUAAUGGGUAAAGAAGCACCGGCUAACUACGUGCCAGCAGCCGCGGUGAUACGUAGGGUGCGAGCGUUGUCCGGAUUUAUUGGGCGUAAAGGGCUCGUAGGUGGUUGAUCGCGUCGGAAGUGUAAUCUUGGGGCUUAACCCUGAGCGUGCUUUCGAUACGGGUUGACUUGAGGAAGGUAGGGGAGAAUGGAAUUCCUGGUGGAGCGGUGGAAUGCGCAGAUAUCAGGAGGAACACCAGUGGCGAAGGCGGUUCUCUGGGCCUUUCCUGACGCUGAGGAGCGAAAGCGUGGGGAGCGAACAGGCUUAGAUACCCUGGUAGUCCACGCUGUAAACGGUGGGUACUAGGUGUGGGGUCCAUUCCACGGGUUCCGUGCCGUAGCUAACGCUUUAAGUACCCCGCCUGGGGAGUACGGCCGCAAGGCUAAAACUCAAAGGAAUUGACGGGGCCCCGCACAAGCGGCGGAGCAUGCGGAUUAAUUCGAUGCAACGCGUAGAACCUUACCUGGGUUUGACAUGGAUCGGGAGUGCUCAGAGAUGGGUGUGCCUCUUUUGGGGUCGGUUCACAGGUGGUGCAUGGCUGUCGUCAGCUCGUGUCGUGAGAUGUUGGGUUAAGUCCCGCAACGAGCGCAACCCUUGUUCACUGUUGCCAGCACGUUAUGGUGGGGACUCAGUGGAGACCGCCGGGGUCAACUCGGGGGAAGGUGGGGAUGACGUCAAGUCAUCAUGCCCCUUAUGUCCAGGGCUUCACGCAUGCUACAAUGGCUGGUACAGAGAGUGGCGAGCCUGUGAGGGUGAGCGAAUCUCGGAAAGCCGGUCUCAGUUCGGAUUGGGGUCUGCAACUCGACCUCAUGAAGUCGGAGUCGCUAGUAAUCGCAGAUCAGCAACGCUGCGGUGAAUACGUUCCCGGGGCU
rnacentral:rRNA from 1 species